UCUCCACCCUAAUUCCACCUCACUGAAGCUGCAAAAGAAGCCAAGAGCCGUGAGACCUUUGGACACCAUCAGCACAAACAGAGGUCUGACACAUUGGAAAGCCCUUAUCACCGCCUGUGUGUUUAUUCUGUUCAAACUGCAAACUGAAAGAAGACAAGCUAACCAUUCUUUGCAAAGUCUGCUGGAUCUUAAGUUGGAAAAUAAAUGAACAUCAGGAACUGAAGACCAAGCUAUGCCACUUCUCAGAGAGACCAAGCAAUUUGUUCAAGGGUGCCAGAGAAGACCGUCGUGGAGCAGAAAACUGUUCCCAUUGCCCCUAGGGCGGGACGGAGGCUGUAGCCACGAGGUUAUCUUCCUUUUGGUGGCACCAUGAUGUCACUUCCCAAUUAACUCAAUGCUUUCUGGCAAGUCCCACUGGCAGCUCCCUCUUCUGGGACAGAGAAGUGCCAUAUCUGCACCUUGAUCUCCAGGAAGGCCUUCUCGCCUCUAGCCCUGCUGGGGGAAGAUGAGUGCAAAGCCUCUGGUGGGACAGAAGGCCACCAGCCUUCCAACAUGUCCUCCUAUUGCAGCAGCCAUCCCUCCAGCGAUGUCUAGUGCUCCAAAUACUGCUGGGAAUAGCAAGCACUAAAAGGAGACUCUCUUCCAGGCUGGCAAGGAGAUGUACAAGAUGGCAUAUUCUCUGCUCCUGUGUCCAUGCCAUGUGGGCUAAUCUCAGAAUCACAGCACAGACAUGGAAGUGACACGAGGCUGGAGAUCACCUGGUCCAACCCCCUGAUGGGGAAAAACUGCUUGGCUUCCCAGGAGCAGCUGCUCCAUGUGUGGCACCGAGGGGCACCAGGGCACUGUGGAGCUGUCUUGAUGGCUUCCUCCAUCUGCCAAGCUCGUUUGCCAUCAGACAGCUCAGUAAUUACAUACAACAGCCUUGUACAGCA